UGGGAACUGCGUUNUGAACUGGGUGACUAGAGUGUGUCAGAGGGAGGUAGAAUUCCACGUGUAGCAGUGAAAUGCGUAGAGAUGUGGAGGAAUACCGAUGGCGAAGGCAGCNUCCUGGGAUAACACUGACGUUCAUGCCCGAAAGCGUGGGUAGCAAACAGGAUUAGAUACCCUGGUAGUCCACGCCCUAAACGAUGUCGAUUAGCUGUUGGGCAGCAUGACUGCUUAGUAGCGAAGCUAACGCGUGAAAUCGACCGCCUGGGGAGUACGGUCGCAAGAUUAAAACUCAAAGGAAUUGACGGGGACCCGCACAAGCGGUGGAUGAUGUGGAUUAAUUCGAUGCAACGCGAAGAACCUUACCUGGUCUUGACAUGUACGGAACCCUCCAGAGACGGAGGGGUGCCUUCGGGAGCCGUAACACAGGUGCUGCAUGGCUGUCGUCAGCUCGUGUCGUGAGAUGUUGGGUUAAGUCCCGCAACGAGCGCAACCCUUGUCAUUAGUUGCCAUCAUUAAGUUGGGCACUCUAAUGAGACUGCCGGUGACAAGCCGGAGGAAGGUGGGGAUGACGUCAAGUCCUCAUGGCCCUUAUGACCAGGGCUUCACACGUCAUACAAUGGUCGGUACAGAGGGUAGCCAAGCCGCGAGGUGGAGCCAAUCUCACAAAACCGAUCGUAGUCCGGACUGCACUCUGCAACUCGAGUGCAUGAAGUCGGAAUCGCUAGUAAUCGCAGGUCAGCAUACUGCGGUGAAUACGUUCCCGGGUCUUGUACACACCGCCCGUCACACCAUGGGAGUGGGGGAUACCAGAAGUAGGUAGGGUAACCGCAAGAAGCCCGCUUACCACGGU
rnacentral:rRNA from 1 species